rnacentral:lncRNA from 1 species
AGAGGACUCAUAAUCAAGGGCAAUAAACUAGAUCCAUAGCAGUUUAAUGGUUCAAAGGGAUGGGAGCUGUUUAUGUCAGUCCUGUCACUUCUUGAAAAUGGAUAAGGCUCCAAAAAAGAAGAGAAGAGCGGGUAUAGCGCUUCCUGGUUUCCAUGAGAUGGCAUUCAGUGCUGGGGGUUGGGUUUGGAGACACAGAAGCGGGGUCCCCGGAGUAGCAAUGAUGGUUGACCCAGACGUCCCUCCGGUCAGACUGCUCUUUCCCCUCGGCGCGUGGCUGCAGCCGCUCACUGCGGGGUGAGGCCAAGGCUCUUCCCAUUCCUGCUCUCCAAAGGCAGACAGACCCAUUUACUAUUAUUCUGCACAUUUGAGAAAAAAAAAGAAAAAGGUGAGUUAAAAUAAUACAAAGAUGGAGGAGCAAGGAAAGGAAAGUUUGCUGAAUGCGUGGUGAAUUAUCUUCAGAAAGCCGAUUGCUCUGUCUGCUGUCCAUUCUCUUGCUUCUCCCCAGCACCGCCGGGAAUGGGCAGGUUUCCCUGGUGUGGCUCAUCUCGAAGGCUGCUGGGGGAGGUUAUCGGCUGAGAAAAACACUACUUAGCCCUGCUGAUUGGGCAUGAGUUUCUUUACAACCCAGAAUGAGUGAGGGAAGCUAUUUUUUCUUCUUGGCUCUGGCAAAAACCCACUGUUUGAGUGCUCGGUUCAUUUUUCUGUGUUCCCAAACUAUAUAAAAGUGGGGGUUAGUCUUUCUUCCUACCCAGUCUAUCCUUUAACAGUAGGGGCUCUUGGUCUACAGGUGUAGGUAGCAGUUACUGCAAUCAGAUUCUCAGUUCGAGGUGUUGCUAACAGUGUGCAAAGCAAGGUAUAAAACAUACAGCAUAGCAUUAUGGGUUAAAUACAGCUUUAAUUAAAAGAUUUUGUUGUAAUAUGCUUUGCUUGGCUUUUCUUUCAUGUAUAAUAAAAAAAUUGAAAUAAUUCA